rnacentral:lncRNA from 1 species
GUGUGAAGAGGCUGACAGCGGCGUGGCCACCACCCAGGAUGGAGAGAAAGGCACUGUGAGGUGUUAAUGGAAAAAUCCAACUUCCUUUUCUUCCAAAGAUGAUGACUGAAACCAAAGUGGAGCUUUCCCUUGUGAAGUGAAAGCAAAGUUUUAAAAUUUUUUCUCCUCUGCAAGAAAAUAUAUUUCAGAAAAUCUCUAUCUCAAAAAUGAAGCAAUUAAGAACUGUCUGGCUGUGAGGAUCUGGCCUCAACUUGACUUAAAGCAACAACUUCAGUUACAUAUCAAGAUGAAACUUUCUGAGAUGCAAGUGGGUGUUAAAUGGUUCAGCAAAGCCAAGCCAGAGCAGUUGGUGUGCUUUGAAAUGAAGCAACAUUGGAAAAAUGAAAUCUACUGAAAGAUCACUACGUGUUUCAAAGAACUGACUAGAACCAGAACUCUUCAGAAAAGAAUGUGCUAAAGGUUUGUCCUUGAGAAGUUUCCAAGCCAAGACACUCCUAGGAGCACUUCCCAUUGAGGCCGAAAGGCUCAUCCACUUACAGCGAUUCAUGGGAAAAGAGGACAGCACCCUCAUCUUUGGUCCAAGAACACAAUCCUGAGUGACACAGGAUUGCCCUGAAAGUCAACAGCAUCCGUCUUACAAAAAUCAACAACACUCGCUUUUCAAACUUCCAAAGAAUUUACUGGUCUGGUUUGGCCUUUUGGUGCCACAUUCCAUUCCAGAACCCCAGCUAAAAUGUUCUCAAGGGCUGACCAGAGAUUCCUCCUCCUUUCUCUGGGCUGGUACAACUUGACCGCUGCUUGACAUCAAGGUCAACUGGAGACUGGGAACAGUUAUGUAACUGUGUUGUAAAUUGAAUUAGAGCUGUACAUGAGCCCAGACCAAGUAACCAGUGCAGCUCCAGGCAAGAGCAGCAACAUGUCCCCCAGAGACAGCAUUGGAGGAACAGCUUACUGGGGAAUGGAAAAAGGGUAUCACAGGGUAAAAAAGAAACCGUCUCUUUCCAGUCCUUCUAAAGUCUGGGCAGUUGGCUGCCCCAUCACAUGUGGAAUAAGAGGGGGGCAUUAAGUGCAGAGGGAGCUGGUGUCAGUAUGGCAGGCAAACACUGAGGAAAAAUCAGCAUACAUAGUAUACACAAAGAGAAUGAGAAAAAAAUAUUUGUAACACCAGAACAGACACCACCCAGAUGAAAGAAAUAAGAAGGCUUACACGUGGAGAGGAAAAAAGCCUCUGGCAGUGGUCAGUGGACUGUAGAAUGAGCAAGAAAGGCAUGACCAUCCUCCUACCAGUGACUGGUCAUUCUGGAGAGGAUACAUGUGCACAGAUCUGGAAAACCAGGGCUGAAAAGCCUUUUGACACCUUUGGUGACCUAGGACAUGGUCCCCCAAUGUAAGACAUCAUGCUAGAUAGAGGGGAAAAUAGUAAGUUUUCUUCAAAGGCAAAUGAAUACAACUUGAGAUAACUUUUGAAAAGAAAAAAGGUACUGGGACCAUGGCAUGACUUUGAUCUGUGCUAACAUGACCGCCUGCAGAAGCAGAUGAGGAGAGGCAGAAUAAUGUAAAGCUGAAAGCUUGGAGUCACCAAACCAUAGAUAGCUUCACCUCUUACCAAGUGCUUGAUGUGUGGCUAGGUUCUUAAAUCCCCUACAAGUUCCAGCUUCCUCAUCUGUAAAAAACGAGCAAGUUAAGACUGGGUGAGUUAAUAGAUGUAAAAGUACUUAGUACAGUACUCUACAAAUAGUAAGUGCCCAAUAAAUGUUAACUGUUAUUAUUAUGUAUUCUGUCCUUCACUAUGUUAGGCCCUGGGAUGUAGUGGUGACAGGCAAGGCUGCUGCUCUUGUGGUUCUUACAUGAAACAAGGGAACAGGGAAAUAAACAAAAUAAAUGCAGACUAUGAAAAGUGCUAAAGAAUAAAUAAAUAGAGUAAUAUAAUAGAAGAAAAUGCCUCUCUGAGGAGGUGACAGUUAAACUGAGACUUGAGCAAUCAUCAGGGGCACAGGGUUCCCAGAAGAGAAAAAAAUAAGUGCAAACUCCCUGUAACACAAAAAAAAAAGAGCUUACUGUGUCCAAAAAUUAAAACGAACCCUAAAGUGGUUUGAGAAUAGUAACAUGGGCUUUGGUUAGGCUGGAGCUAGGGCUCACCUAGUAGAGUAUAGAAAGGCAACACCCCAUCUCCUGCAAAUCUAUUUUCAUCCAUUAAUUUACACGGCAUCUGAAGAACAUGCUGAAUUAAAGCCUGUUAACCCUUGGGAUACAGUCAUCAAAUGUAUCAGAUAUAUUGAGAUAACCCCAACAGAGGGGAUAAGUCUUUACAAAGUAAAUCUAUGCAUUUCAGCAUUUCUUACAAUUGCCAAAAUAUGGAAGCAACCUAAGUGUCCCUCAGGAGACGAAUGGAUCAAGGCAAUGUGGCCUUCAGACUCAGACUGGAACUGCACCGUUGGCUCUCCUGGGUGGGUCUCCAGCUUGCUGACCACAGACCUUGAGACUUCUCAGCCUUUAGAAUCAUGGAAGCCAAUUCCUUAUAAUAAUAUAUAUCCUUUUCCUAGUCUGUGGACUUUUCCCAGCUCCAGACAGACAACCUUCUAUAAACUCCAGGAUGCUCCAUCAAUGCCGUCUGGACUCUACAGAUUUUGACCCUGAAGUAAAGUAGGAAAGGCUAUGAGGACAUGUUAAAUGUUGUACUACCGCCUGAAGCCUUUUCUUCUUUAAAUUUUUCAACAAGAGUUGAAUGCACACGUGGAGCUUAAUUGGACAACAACUUUUCUCCUCUUCUGUGGGAUCCCGUCAGUGCUUUAAGCAAUGAGAAGGCAGCUCAUUUCCAAGUUUGUGUGGUAAAUUUGGGGCAAGUGGGAGAAAAGAAAGAAAGGCUGAGUCUUAUAGGGUGUGAUUUGGUUCUAGACAUGCUUAUGUUACUUUUUAUAAGAUUAUCCAUUUGACUAGAUUUCUUUCCUGCUGACAAAAGAGGCAAUUUCUACAUAUAAAAUAAAUCUGAUUAAAACUCUUUCUCUGUUCCUGUCAAGGUAAUAGAUGCAGACCCCAGGAACAGAAUAUAUUUGGAUUCCUAGUGUGUGCAAAUGAUUGUUUAUGUGAUAUCUGGUGCCAAGACCCACAGACGGCUCCUGUACUGCCCUGUAAAAAUAACGGGAAUGGAAAGCUUUUCCUUAGGCAUAAAAAGUUAAUUUUAUUUCUUAUUCUCUUUCACAGCGGUAACUAUUACUUUGUAAUUUUCCUGGUAUUUUGUUGGCAGCCAAAAAUAACACAAGUAAUAGUCCUUGCCUACAAUAUGCAGCUCCGAUUCAUUUUGCUUAGCUCAAGUUGCCUCCUAUAAUAAAGGUGGUGGCACUAGACCUUAAGCAUAGGUCUAAACUAGAGCAAAUUUCUUAAGCCCGUUUUUAAUCAGAAAGGCAGAACAAGUUCAAAUCCUUUCCAUUCCUUUAUCCUAGUAGGGUUUUUAGAACACACCAAAUAGCAAGAAAUGAAUGCAGCUUUAGUAAUUAACAUUGAUAACUCUUCUCAGCCUCCAACUGAGUGAACAGCCUCUUUCAGGCCAGUCAAGAACCAUUCUGUAUAAUCCUAUCUGCAUGUUAUCUUGACAGUGGGAGAUAGUGAGUCAUAGACAAAGGCCAAGGUGUUGGGCCUGAGCUAACCAAGUGCGUUGAGAAUGGAGGCAGUCUCCCAGGAUCUGGGACAGGUGUGAGGAGCCACCAGGAGCCAGGGACCAUUAAGUGGAUGGGUUAGUCAAAGCAUUACUUCAUAAAUCCAGGCGGCCACAGAGGUCUGCGUAUUUACAGACACCACUUGUCAAGAGAAGUGGCAGCCUUGAAACCAGAAGGCACAAACACUGAAAAAUCAGGUGGUUCAGGCUGCUAAUGGUCCUAUUAGGCAGUCACGCAUCAGAGGACCCAUGGUAGACAACAGAGCACCACAAAGGCCCCAUGUGGGGCAUGGCUUCUAUGCUAGAAUCCACCUCUAUGCAGACAAAGGACUAUCAUGUGCUUCUUCUCUUAAACAAAGAAAUCCAUGUGUGGCUUGUCCAGGGCAUUCAGAUGCAAACAAGCAACUUAGACCACCAAAAAGGGAUAUGGCAUUGGCCAGGGAUAUGCAUUCCUGAAAAUGUAAAACAUUACUUUGUGCCUCCUUUACUUAAAGCAGUUAGUGAGUAACUAAGUUACGGAGAAGCUUAGAAACUAAAACACUCUGGCUUGCUUUGAAUGUGGCCAUUUUUACAGGUAAGAAAGCUGGGACCCAGAAAAAUGCACUGAUUUACCCAAGGAAGCAGAGCUGGGAACAGAAUACGAGGCUUCUAAUCUACUGAUCAUUUCACUGUGUCACACUAUUUAAGAUGUAGAAACAGCUGAAUUCAUCUUGUCAACUCAGAAUCCUUUAGUAUCUGUGUCCAGAGGAGGAUUUGCCUCCACUCUAAGGGCUUUGGGUUUGUCUGGGAAGGGCUUAUUUUUCACUUGCUUUCUUAGGUAGGAAAUCAGGGUGGGAGAUCUCAGUCAGCAUCAGUGCCUUCCUUCCUGUGGAUCUGGAUGUCUUUUAAUGCACUCAUGAGCCUAGUGUGAAGCCUGGCCACAGAGAUCCUGAGAAUUGUACUCAAGAGAGUUUGAGCUUCAGAUGUCAUGGGUGCUCCCUGUUCUAGAGAUAAUGGUGUAAAGUGACACAGACACAGCAUGUGCUGGCUGGAGGACAGAUAAAAAUAACAAAUAGUCUUAAUUGAGUACAGUGAUUCAAUUUUGCAAGACAGGCAGCAGCUAAAGAGAUCUAUUGGCACUUUAUAGGUAAUGUUGAGCGAUAAAAUAAUAGUGAUGAUUAUGCAGAGGACGAAGAGUAGCAAAAAUUGCAGUCUCUGUGUCUUGCACAGUACUUAGCCCAUAAUUAAUAUAAAUUAUGUAUCUUAGCCGACAGUACUUAGAUGCAUAAUUAAUAUUACGGAAUCGGAUAAACUGAACUGAUGACUAUGACCCAUAAUCCAUAAUCAUGACCCAUGACCAUGACAGGGAUGGUGCAAGAUUAGUGUGAAUUCUGUUUCAGUAGGUGAGGACUAGCACAGACUGGAGAUAAAACUGUGGUUUGGCAUUCUUCCAUUUUUACCUUGCUCAUUUUUUAAGGCAGGCAGUUUGUACCUCAUUGAUUUUCACUGCUCAUCAAGUCCUAUUAGCCUAUUCAUUAGUGAUGGCUUCAUUCCCUUCCCACAGUCUGUCUCCUGAAUGACACUUCCUUGUGUUAAGGCUGUGCUUAGCCCUAGCCAUGAUUGCUGGGUAUCGACAGAAUGUGGCAUGACCAGCAGGGCCUGCUGGCUGGCAAGUAGCACCCUUCUCCAACAACACAUUGGUACCCACAGAAAGAAGGUGGCAAUUUCCAUUACAAGGAAGAUCAGGUUGUCAACUGAUAUUAUAGUUCCAGUCUCUCUCUCUCUCUUUCUGUCUGCCACCCACACACCUUCACACUCACUUGUCUAAAUAUAAAUAUGAACACAUUAUCAUAACCCCAAGCCUGUUCUUGCAGCUAAAUUUAUUUUCUCACUGGAACCACAGUUCACUUGUCAGCCAAACUAGAGGCCCAGAGUCAUCUCUCUUUGUUUUGCUCUUCCCCACAUCUGAUCAGGCACCAAGCUCCAACCAUGCUUCCUUAGACACCACUCUUGAGACCUCCCCUUCUCUGUUUUUCCACUUCUAUUGCUCUAGUAUAGUUACUAUAUUAUACUGUCAUCUUUCACCUGGACUUAAAGACUCCAGAUAGUUCCAUCUUUCUAAUUCCUCUUCCCCAGUGCAAAGUGAGGAUGCAGAGUACCUGUGGAAAGGCUAAGGGAAGACAGACUCCAGGCAUGAGAGAGAGGAAUACCAGCAAAUAUGUAUUGAACACUUAAUGUGCCAGGGCAUUGAUUUACUAAUAUUUACAUUUGUUUUUACUUAAUUCUCACAAAAACCUGAAUGUACAUACUAUAAUUAUCUCCAUUUUAUGGAUAAGAGACUCAAGGCUAAGAAAUUUUAAGUGAUGUAUAAGAUCGUAUAUAAGGAAGUGGCAGAGCUGGACUCAAACCAGGGGUCCAGUUUGUCUAACUCUUAGGUCCGUGUCAUUGUCAUCACCACAUUCUACCUUUCUAGUUGCUCUAUACUAGAGGUUAUCACCUAAGGGGUUUGUUAAAACUGUGUUUUAACAAACACAGAUUACUGGACACAACCCCCCAGAGUUUCUGAUUCAAGUCUGGGAUGAGGCCUGAGAAUCUGAGAAGUUGCAUGUUUAUCAAAGUCCCAAGAGAUGAUGAUGCUGCUGAACCAGUGACCACACAUGAAAGCCUUCGCCCCAGCCUUUGGCAUUUAUUUUUGGCACUUUCUCCUCAGGCACAGCACAAGUGGUUCAAACUUCAGGCUUACAUAUCAGACCAGUUUGAGUCCUGGAUCUGCUACUCAGUAGCUCUGUGUCUGUGGGCCACUUUAUUUAACCGCACUAAGCCUCAGCUACCCCUUCUACAAAAUGGGAAUAGAACCUACCUUGCAAAGAUGUUUGAGGACGGGGAAUCAUGUAUAUAAAACUCAGAGCUCUAUGAUUUGCACAGAUUUGAACUUAAUAAAUGUUAGCUGUUUAGGAAUUUACAAGUGUAAGAAUUUUAUUUUUUUUAUUUCAUUUAACUUUUAUUUCUGUUCGUUUCUCUCUGCCUUUUUUGUUUCUCUCACUGCCUCAGAUGGCUUUGCAUUUGAUUUUCCUUACAUUUGGAAUUUUGUUCUCCAGACCUUUGCAUAGCUCACUUCUUCUCACCACUCAGGUUUCAGCUGAAAUGUACCAGUUAAGGAAGGCUUUGAGCCUAGAUGAGGGUACCCUUCUCCUAUCCGCUACCCACGGCACUUUCUCAUUGUAUGCUCAGUGGGUGGAUUUUUACAUUGUGAUCCAAUUUCUGGAAUAGUAAUAGACAUUUUCAGGUUUUCUACUUCUUCUACAAUCAAUUUUAUGUUUUGGUUUUAUAGAAAAUUGUCCAUUUUAUCCGUUUUCAAAUUUACUGUCAUAAAUUCAUUCUGUGACAUUAACUUCUUCUUAUUCUCUACGAUAUCAGUCUUGUACCCCUUUCACUUUCUAAUAUUCUUCGCACCUUCUCUCCAUUUUUGUUGAUCAUUCCUGCCAAGGUUUGUCUAUUUAACUAGGCCUUACAAUGACCCACUUUCUGAUAUGUUUGAAUUCUCUUUAUUAUAUCCUUGUUUUUACUUAUUUCUAUGGUUUAUUUCCUUUCUUUCUUCUUUCUGUCUUCUUCCCCUGACUUAUUAAGUUGUAUACUUAGGUCUUUAAUUAUUGAUGUUUCUCCAUUUAUUCUAUGAGCAUUUAAAACUGUCAACAUUCUUUGAAUCUCAAUCAUGGUGGCAUGUUUCUUAUAUGACUUUCAAUACGUUUGAGCUACUUGAGCAAGUAAAACCUGUUGGAAUUCAGAAGGCCCUCAGUUCAGACUCAGCAGAGGAUUUUCUUUGGCUUUGGCCAGGUGCCCAGGCACUGCCAGACUGGGACUACUGUGUUAAUUUCUCGGUUUAGGGUUUCCCAGCUCAUGCAGGUGUUAUAAAUUUAAACCUCAAACCCACACAAGGGCAGGGCUGUGGUGAUGAAUUCUCGAGAGAGACAAUUAUUUUUUUCUUCCUCCUAGAUUUAAAACAAAGAAACAGUUCUCUCGUCAUCUCCUUAAAGGCAGUUUCACUGAGAGGGUAGCACUUCAGGGCCCUGAAUUUAUGGGACUUUCCCCUUCUCACGCUUCUCCUUACACAGGCUCCAUCUUCUGCUCCAUCUUCGCCUCCUCUCCUGGGUGUUGCCAUUACAAUUCCAUAUUGGUAGAUGGCCUCAGCGAGAUUCAGUGUGAAGUAUUAUUCUAAAUAAUUGUUUAGUUUUUAUCUUUUGAUUUUUAGGAUUUUCCUUACUUUCUUGCUAGUUUGGCUGUGCAUUCAAAAAAACUCUCUAUUCUUUCUGAAUUGUAUGUUGGGAUAGUACAAAAGAGCUUAUUUUGAGACUAUUUAGUCUGCCAUCUUACCAGAAAUUGAAGUGACUCUCAUGACUCUUUAGCACAUCACUGUCUUUUAUCUCCUCUAUAGGCUCACUAAUGCCUGAAUUUAUUUUACUUAUUUAUGAGUUCAUUUUCUGUUCCUCUGUUGCCAAGUUAAAAGUAAAUAACCUGAUGACAGGGUCUCCAUUCUGUACACUGGUAUAGCCUCAGUAUCUAGAAAAGCUGUUGGCGUGAAGUAAGACUCAAUCAAAAUUUGUUGGUUGAACGACUGAUAAGUAAAUCAUGGAGUAUACAUAUGUGGACUAUAUCCUAUGCGAACUUUAAAAGUAACUAUUUAUAAAAUAUCUCUGACACAAUAAGGUAGAAAGUCAGGUUAUUUAAUAGCAUGUGUAACAUAACCUCUAUUAUAAAACACGUGUGUGCAUAUGUGUGUUUAUGUUUGUAUUUAAAACUAUCUGGAAGAAUAUGCACAGAAUAUUAACUGUUUAUCUCUGGUUAGUGAGACUUUUCAUAAUUUUUCUUUCAUCCUAAUACUUUAUACUGAACACAUAUUAGUAUUUUUUGUAAUAAUUAGAGGAGGGAAAAAACAUCUUAUAAAGGUCUGGGAUAUUUGCUACCUUAAUUUCAAGGUGCAUAUUACAAAUAAAGCUUCAUUUUAUCUUUCUUCCUAAGGACUCAGUCAUAAGUUACUUGUGUUUGUUUCUACUUUUCUUGGAAGUAAAAAUAAGCCAUUUUCAGGCUUCUUCUCUACUAUUAUUCUGCUCAGUAUAGGAUGGUUUUUUAAAAACAACACUAAUAUGUGUUAAUUUAUCACUACAGGCACCAGGAUUAUGCAAGGAUCAGCUAGAACCUCUAUUCUGGAUUUGAUACCUUUAGCAACUUUAGUUUUGUUACUUUGAUGUAAGGAAAGAGAGGACACCAAAAUACGUCCCACACUGGCCUGGGGAGAGGAAAGGAGUGUUAGAGAUCCUUUUUCUCCUCUACCACUACAGUUUUUGUCAGCAUAAAUUUGGACUAUGUUAUAUCUUUAUGCUAGGUGUCACCUAUUCUUGCUUAAGGAAUAGUCAGCAAGACUGUUAAUUAAUCCUCUUCCUUCUCAGCUGCCUGCCAUUUAUAUCAAUGAUAAUGUCAGGAGCUGAGGACACAAAGGUGAGUAACAAUCAGACCCUGCCCUUGCAUCCCACAGUGAUGUCAAAGAACAUAAUAAGGAUGUCGUGUCAUAAGUGUUAUGUAUGAAGUACUUUUGGAAUUCAGAAAAAGCUCUUGUUGGGUGAAGACGAAGCAAUCAUCUGCCUCCUGUAUAUUUUUCAGCCUUGUUCAUUACACUUGCCUCUUGUGCUCUAGCAACACUAUUUCUCAGUUUCCACAAACUACAGGCCAGGGUUUUUGCUCAUAUUCAUACUGUAUCCUCUACCUGGAGUUUCCCUUUUUUCAUUUUCCAGGCAAAUUCCCACUUAACCUUCACAACUUGCAUCAGGCACCAACUCCUUCAGGAAUCUUUCUUUUUUUUCUUUUCUUUUCUUUCUUUCUUUUCUUUCUCUUUCUUUCUUUCUUUCUUU